UAGCUCAGUUGGUAAAGGAUCUGCCUACAAUGCAGGAGACCCAGGUUCGAUCCCUGG
rnacentral:tRNA from 1 species